rnacentral:rRNA from 1 species
GUGCCAGCCGCCGCGGUAAUACGUAGGAUCCGAGCGUUAUCCGAAUUUACUGGGCGUAAAGCGCGUGCAGGCGGUUUGGUAAGUUGGAUGUGAAAGCUCCCGGCUCAACUGGGAGAGGCCGUUCAAAACUACCAGACUAGAGGACGGUAGAGGGAGGUAGAAUUCCCGGUGUAGUAGUGAAAUGCGUAGAUAUCGGGAGGAAUACCAGUGGCGAAGGCGGCCUCCUGGACCGUUCCUGACGCUCAGACGCGAAAGCUAGGGGAGCGAACGGGAUUAGAUACCCCUGUAGUCC